rnacentral:lncRNA from 1 species
UGGAAUUUUGAACUGCUAGGAAUCAAAAUGAGAAAGCUCAUGUUGCCACCAGCCAGUCAGAAGUGAAGUGGAACUGGAAAGAACCGUGUCGAAGAUUUGAGUCCCUGGAAGGAGGUCCCUGCUCUUCUGUUUUUUAACAGCAAAAGUAGGCAAUGGAGGAAUUAGAGAAGGCAAAUGAAGGGCAAAGGCUCCCAUGCCUUGAUGGCAACAAAAGCUUGGUCACAGUUUGACUGUCUUGACACUGCAGGAAUUUCACUGCUGCAAAUGGAAAAGAAUGAAACAUAGAAUGCCAAUCAAAGGAGUGUGUUUCAUUCAUAAGAAACUCCUUUAAUUUUGCUAUGGCACGCCAACCAUUCAUAAGGUGGGAAAUAUGGAGAAUAAGUAAGUGGAAAGAUACUUUCUGGCAUCUUCCUUUGCUUCCUUUACUAGUCUCAUGAUGAAUACGAUUAUGGAUUUCUAUUUCUAAAAAUUAUUAAUAGAUCAGUAAUGUGUGCAAGAUAAUUUUUGGAAUAAAUACAAACUAUUCGAACUAUCACUUAAUUUACACUGACAGAUUCUCACCUAUAUCAGAUGCCUAACAAAUCAAAAAUAUUUAUGUGAUUUCUGUACUAUUCCUUUUAUGUAAAUGGAAGGAAAUGUAAAAGGUGUGCAUAUGUUUUAGCUUCUACAUCAAAUAGAAACACUGGGACUGUGUGCACAAUCAUUUGGUAUUUAUCGGAAGAAUUUAAAAUCUGACU